UACGUAGGGGGCAAGCGUUGUCCGGAUUUAUUGGGCGUAAAGAGCGUGUAGGCGGCCUAGUAGGUCAGCUGUGAAAACUCGAGGCUCAACCUCGAGCUGUCGGUUGAAACCACUAGGCUAGAGUCCGGAAGAGGAGAAUGGAAUUCCCGGUGUAGCGGUGAAAUGCGCAGAUAUCGGGAAGAACACCCGUGGCGAAGGCGGCUCUCUGGGACGGUACUGACGCUGAGACGCGAAAGCUAGGGGAGCGAACGGG
rnacentral:rRNA from 1 species